CCAACAGUUCGUCGUAAGGAUUUGAUUUUUCUCAUCCUGCAAUGAAAAAUUCAACAUCGAAAUUUUUCUCUACGGCCACCAUGUAUACAUAUACAUAACACGUGUAUGCAUAAUACAGACAGCAUUGUCCAGUAUUACGAAACUUCACAGGAAACACAUCAAAGGUCCUAUGGAUACUUACCACGUCGAUGAUGUGGUGCAAGGACAGUCCAAAGACAACGGCAAGAGGCUGCGAUGAAUUCUCCGCUGGUCGUACACCAGCAUCGUAACCAUCCAGCAGAUGCUUGGUAAGACGAUACUCGUGUUCGUCACAGGAUCCUGGAAGAAUAAUAAUGACAAUCUUUCGCAAUGAGACUACGUAGCUCAGUCCGUCCACCCUCCUAUCUACCCCUCAUACGUCCUAUCAGUAUAUAUUGACACUGGACGUAGCAUCAAAGCCACAGACAGAAGUUCUAGAGGGAAAGCUGUUAUUUUUUUAGAUAGCUAUCCCAGUAAAUUGACAUAAACAUUCUGAGCUCUGAAAAGAAGAGUGUUAGACUGGAUUUUGAAAAGAUGCGAGACAGGAAGUUCUCAAAAGAUAGCAGAUGCAUUUACGUUCUGAUAAAGGGGUGAGAAAAUGUACGUCACGGGGAUGUAAAUCGAAAAACACUUCGGGUUUGUAAUGAGAUCGUGCGUCAGGAGGCGACGUUAUACGAAAGGACAGAUUGGGUGAGUGAGAGUAUCCUGGAAGAUAUUUUUAAGGGGUUGACAGGGAGCCAUCCCCAGAACACUUGUAACAGGAAUUUCAAGUUUCCAGGAAGCAGGUUUUAUUAGAGUCGAAGCACUUGAAGCUUUGCGAUCGAAACUAUUUAGAGAUCUGCCAAUUUUUACAUGUUUGCACGAAGACACGAUAACGCUGAAAAAUCUAAUAAAGGACGUUGACUACUGUGGUUGAAGUUGAAGAAAUUAUACAUGAAAUAAAACAAUAUCUCUAAGGAUAUUAUAAAAGGAUCAAAUUUAUUAAAAGAAAAUGAUGAAAAAUGAAGAAAAUAAUGUCUCUAAGGAUAUUAUAAAAGGAUCAAAUUUAUUGAAAGAAAAUGAUCAUUCCUCCAUACCGUUUUGUUUAUGAAAAAUAAUCUGAAGAAGAAAGUGUUCCGCCAUAGAAACUCAGUAAUAAUUUCUCAUAGAUUUUAUAAUCAAUCGAGCAUGCUCAGAGCCAAUAAUAACUUACAGCCUGCUUCCUACGUCCGCAAUAGUAUGACAGAGCAAUUGAUCAUUUCAUCUUAUCUCAUUAGUGCCAUCUCACCCUCCGUUCGGAGGAUGACUUUCUAAUUAACGUUCAGUCAAAUUUGAGGGAGCUUGGAAAACGAUAUCAAAGUCAAGAUGGGACCAUAAUGUAUAUUCGAGUAGCAGAAUGGCUUGCCAAUUCAAAAGUUUCUCCAUGUCGCUUCGACCUAUACUGUAUUCUCUGUUUGCAGUGAAAAGUUCACAGGAGUGAGUUGUGGAUAUUUGUGUGAAACUUAAAUUAAAACAAGAAAUAAGGG